CCUACGGGCGGCAGCAGUGGGGGAUAUUGCACACUGGGGGGAACCCUGAUGCAGCAACGCCGCGUGGGUGAAGAAGUACUUCGGUAUGUAAAGCCCUGUCAGCAGGGAAGAAAAUGACGGUACCUGACCAAGAAGCCCCGGCUAACUACGUGCCAGCAGCAGCGGUAAUACGUAGGGGGCAAGCGUUAUCCGGAUUUACUGGGUGUAAAGGGAUCGUAGACGGCAAGGCGAGUCUGGAGUGAAAGCCCGUGGCUCACCCACGGGACUGCUUUGGAAACUGUGUUGCUGGAGUGCAGGAGGGGUAAGCGGAAUUCCUAGUGUAGCGGUGAAAUGCGUAGAUAUUAGGAGGAACACCGGUGGCGAAGGCGGCUUACUGGACUGUAACUGACGUUGAGGCUCGAAGGCGUGGGGAGCAAACAGGAUUAGAUACCCUGGUAGUC
rnacentral:rRNA from 1 species